rnacentral:misc_RNA from 1 species
AACCAUAGAAACCUGCGGAGUACCUGCGGAAGGAUCAUUACCGAGUUUACAACUCCCAAACCCAAUGUGAACGUUACCAAACUGUUGCCUCGGCGGGAUCUCUGCCCCGGGUGCGUCGCAGCCCCGGACCAAGGCGCCCGCCGGAGGACCAACCAAAACUCUUAUUGUAUACCCCCUCGCGGGUUUUUUACUAUCUGAGCCAUCUCGGCGCCCCUCGUGGGCGUUUCGAAAAUGAAUCAA